rnacentral:rRNA from 1 species
GGGCCCGCACAAGCGGUGGAGUAUGUGGUUUAAUUCGAUGCAACGCGAAGAACCUUACCAGGGUUUGACAUCCUGCGAAUCUCUUGGAAACGAGAGAGUGCCUUCGGGAGCGCAGUGACAGGUGGUGCAUGGCUGUCGUCAGCUCGUGUCGUGAGAUGUUGGGUUAAGUCCCGCAACGAGCGCAACCCUUGUCAUUAGUUGCUACAUUUAGUUGAGCACUCUAAUGAGACUGCCGGUGACAAACCGGAGGAAGGUGGGGAUGACGUCAAGUCCUCAUGGCCCUUAUGGGUAGGGCUUCACACGUCAUACAAUGGUCGGUACAGAGGGUUGCCAAGCCGCGAGGUGGAGCCAAUCCCGGAAAACCGAUCGUAGUCCGGAUCGUAGUCUGCAACUCGACUACGUG